GACGUUGAGAUCUGAGUUGUUGGAGCGUGUGGUUUUGUUUUAGAUCACGUACAAGUGUGAAGUGAAAGCGAACGUCACGGAUCAUCACCGUUAAACAACGGCUUGAUUGGAUCAAGUUAGCUUUUGGAUUUUUGUGUGAAUAUGUGAAAGAAAGAAACAGUUCAAGUGGUGGAAUUGGUGAUCCGUUUCCCGUCACGUCCGAAGGAGUUUGGACGAGUUCUUAACGGUUCUGAAUAGAUCUCGUUCCCAAUUUUUUAGAGCAGUUUUCCGAUCCAAAAUCAGAGUUUCAGAUAGAGGUUUUGAGGAUCAAUUUCUCCUAGAAAUCAGAGAGAAUCAAGAGGAGCGUAAGGUGUGAUUUCAAUGAACACGAUGUGAAGGAAUCCACAGCCACUGACGGAUCUUCAAUCAGACUUAAACUCAAGAAGUUGUGCACGUUUCUUUCUGGUCAAGUAAUUGCUAAGUCUGUCAAACCCAAAAAUCAUAAAUGACAGUUCGAGAUGGCUUGUUGACGACAACGUUUGGAGCUUGUAAUGAAGUCCGAUCGGGAUGAAACUUCGUGGAGUUCAUCAUGAUACUACUGGCUACAUAUUCAACGGUUGGAUCACAUUUGUAACGGAGCUUUCAUGACUCAUGGAUUUAGGUCCUGGUUGAAGGAGAACCAAGUUAGAGUUUAAGAGCAUGUGGUCGCAGUUGAGAUAAUAAGUUUGUCUAAAUGAGGAAGAAGGAAAAGUGUGUUGUCAUCUUCAGCUAGGCUAAGGUUAGUAAGCGUGAGGAGUUGUGUGCAAUAUUUUGUUCGAGUAUGAAGUUUAAAGAAAAUGUUUUUGGCAAGAUCAGAUAAAUAACAUGCUGUCUUAG